rnacentral:rRNA from 1 species
CAAUAGCGUAUAUUAAAGUUGUUGCAGUUAAAAGCUCGUAGUUGGAUUUCGGAGUGGGCCAGUUGGUCCGCCGCAAGGUGUGUUACUGACUGGUUUGCUCUUCUUCGCAAAGACUGCGUGUGCUCUUGAGUGAGUGUGCGUAGAAUUUACGACGUUUACUUUGAAAAAUUAGAGUGUUCAAAGCAGGCUAUUGCUUGAAUACAUGAGCAUGGAAUAAUGGAAUAGGACUUUGGUCCCAUUUUGUUGGUUUUCGGAACUUGAGGUAAUGAUAAAGAGGGACAGACGGGGGCAUUCGUAUUACGGUGUUAGAGGUGAAAUUCUUGGAUCGCCGUAAGACGAACUACUGCGAAAGCAUUUGCCAAGCAUGUUUUCCUUAAUCAAGAACGAAAGUCAGAGGUUCGAAGACGAUUAGAU